rnacentral:rRNA from 1 species
AGAACGAACGCUGGCGGCAGGCUUAACACAUGCAAGUCGAACGGGUGUAGCAAUACACCAGUGGCAGACGGGUGAGUAACACGUGGGAACCUUCCUCGUAGUACGGAACAACUCAGGGAAACUUGUGCUAAUACCGUAUACGUCCGAGAGGAGAAAGAUUUAUCGCUAUGAGACGGGCCCGCGUCGGAUUAGGUAGUUGGUGGGAUAACUGCCUACCAAGCCUACGAUCCGUAGCUGAUCUGAGAGGAUGAUCAGCCACACUGGGACUGAGACACGGCCCAGACUCCUACGGGAGGCAGCAGUGGGGAAUCUUGGACAAUGGGCGCAAGCCUGAUCCAGCCAUGCCGCGUGAGUGAAGAAGGCCUUAGGGUUGUAAAGCUCUUUUGGCAGGGACGAUAAUGACGGUACCUGCAGAAUAAGCCCCGGCAAACUUCGUGCCAGCAGCCGC